GCGCGCCGCCUCUCGCUCCGCCCAACCCGCGCGCGAGCCUGGGCGGGGAGGGGGAGCAAGGAAGCUGCGAGCGCGCCGGGGAGCGCAGCUGCAGGCGUGGGGGCGGCAGGAGCCGGGGAGCCGGCGCUGAGAGGGGCUGUGGCCGGAGCGGGCGGCAGAGACAAAGGCGACGAUAGGGCCAGUUUUGAGUGUGUGAAUUUUUGAGUGAAACCUGGAACCCAAAUGAGAAGAAAUCUGCAAGGAAUAACUACUGACAGUGAAUCUGCUGAGUCAUCUGUAUGCAUAAUAUGGAAUGUUCUUAACCCAGAAGUAGCUGAAUGUGUUACUCCAUUGAUGAGGAGUGACUCUCUGUUAUAGUCCCUGGGUCAAGACAACAAUUUUUAUACCUUCGUCGUGGUUCAGAAAGGAGUCUCUGUAGAACCAGAAGCAAAGAAAGGAAACAAUCCGAAUUUUUCUUUAUUAAAUUGACUGUGUAAGAUACUUGACUUCCAGGAACAAAAACACAGUAAAAUAAUAAAAUUUCAUCUUGGCAUCACUGGACAUUCAUCAUAUUGAGGAGCGUAUUUUGUGGAACUUCCUGAGUUGAGAUUUGGAACCUUCAUUGGUGCUCAUUUAUACUGUGGACUGUAAGCAUGAGUGAAUUCUGGUUGUGUUUCAACUGCUGUAUUGCAGAACAGCCUCAGCCUAAAAGGCGACGACGGAUUGACAGAAGUAUGAUUGGAGAGCCCACAAACUUUGUGCACACAGCUCAUGUUGGAUCAGGAGACCUGUUCAGUGGAAUGAAUUCAGUUAGCUCCAUUCAGAACCAAAUGCAGUCCAAGGGAGGCUAUGGAGGUGGAAUGCCUGCCAGCGUGCAGAUGCAGCUCGUGGAUACGAAGGCAGGAUAGCCCUGGUCCUUUCUCCAGGUUAUUGUGAAUUUCUGUAUUUUCUCUGUCCACUAUUCUGUAAUUUUUUUUUGUCCUGUGAUUGCGUUUCUUUUAUUUUGAAUUACAAAAAAGAAGUGUGAUGGCACCUUGUCUACCCUGUCGUGAUUAUUCCAGUGAGAUGUUACUGUUCUGCUCUGAAGAAGAUACUGUCAGACGAAUCCUGCACUUCUUUCAGCUGGCCUGCAUGCCUUUGGACUCAUGGUCAGAGUUCUUUGGAUUGUCACUGAAUUUUCAAUGUUUAAUCAGUAUGGAUCUGAUCUUCGCAUGAUCUUUUUUGUGAAUGCUAACACCAUUUGGCAGUUUUUUUUUUCUAUUUUAAACAUUUUUCUUUUCACUGCCGACCCCCUGCCUUACGAUUUUAUUAGAAAGCAAGGACCUGCUAUUAUUUGUUAAUUUGCCAUCAUUUAUGUCUAUUUUGGAAGGUAUGAGACCCACAAGCACAAUGAUCAUUUUUAUUUGUUUGAGACUUCAGCAGAAUAGGUAUCUGCAUGCUUUAUGAAGUUGCUUUGGUGAGAGCUCAUGGGAUGCCAGAAAUGAACAUUGCUUUGCUGCCAUGGGCUGAUGAUGCUGCUAUUAGAUAAAGUUUAGCUGUGGCACCAAGUCACAUCAUUUUCAUAGAAAAAGAUCACUUGUAGCUUUAGAAGUAUGACCUUUUGGUCUGUUUGAUUAGAAUUGCAAUAAAAGAAAAGCUUGCAUUCAUAAGGCAUUCAUUCUGUUGUAAAUGUUCAAUAUAUUUAUUUUGAGAGCAAGGACCUGUGGUUGUAAACAGGUGUGGUUACGUAUCUGAGUGUUGUGGUCAUACUCUCAUCCAGUCCGAUCCUGAGCAUCUUCAUCUUAUUAGCUGUUCGUUUCUUUCUGCACUCAUUCUUUUAUUUUUACUUCUUUUUAAUGUUAUGGUAUCCGGUUGUUUCCAGUAGCAGUUUCUUGAACUUCUGGCCUGUACUACUAACUGCAGAUCUCCAGAGUCACUGGCCUUUCUGUGUUCUACAUAUUUUAGCGGCCACGUCAGUUGCUAAGAGCAACAUACAUACUGACCUGGCUGAAUUAUUGCCAGUGAAAACAACCUGUACGAAGCCUUUGCUCAGGUUCUAAAAUACGUUUGUCCUUGCACAAAUUUUGUAUGUUUCAGAUAUUUCUGUAAAAGUUUCUUCUUUUCUGUUUGUUAGAGUGUGGUGUUAAGCCAGAGUCAGUAGUCUGUGUUCUCAUUAAAAUGUUUUAAUCCUAUCUCCAAUUCAAGCCUACCUAACUACAUUUGAUAGGAUUAACGUUUCAUGUAACAAAUGGGGCUUAAUUAAAAACUUUAGGUAACUUUGAAUAAAGGAACAGGGAUCACUUUAUCUUCUGCCUUCAUUUUCCUUCGUCCCAGAUUCUUGCAAAACAGGCAGCUGAACAAACAUUAGGUUAAUGUAGGUAAAACGUGAAAGCAUUUCUCCUCCACUUUCUAAAAUUUAAUUUACCCAGUACAGUGGGGCACCAGACUACUUGAUCUUUGUAUUUUGCAGUUUUGAACCUUUGUGUCAAUCCCAGGCACAGAGAGGAUCUGCCAAGGAAAAAAUUUGCAUCUUCAGAGUAGACGUUUUGCAGUUUGUUUAGUAACUUCUAAAGUUGAAUUUAUCCAUUGUCACUGAUUGACCAAGUAGAUGUCGCAUUGUGGAAUUUUUCUGAGUACCGUUGUCAUUCUGCUCAGCCAGGCACAGUCAGUUCCUUGGCCAGGGACAUUGCUGUGUGCAGGCUCUUUAGAACGGAGAUUGGGUUUUCUUGGCAUUAUCAGCACUCAUGCUAUUUAGUCUACUUCUGUUUUGACUCUUUAAAUUAGUACAGUUUUUCUACUUGUCAUAUAACUUCUGGAACAACAAUACAGGAAGCUGUGAUCCUUUUCCCCAACUCAUGAUUUUAUUCUUUUUCCAAAUCGCUGUUUUGUUUUGUUUGUUUUGUUUUGUUUUUUUGCUGCUCCAACGACCAGCGUGUGUUGGAUCGGAUCACCAUGGUAAGCCAAAAGUGGACUUGUCAGCCUAUAACUACUCUGCAGCUGCCACUAACUCUACAGGCACAGUAACUACACUUUAUACAGGAGCACAUGCCAAAGUGCCUGGGAGGUACCAAUAACAUCAGGAAAAUUACAAAAAAAGAUAGCUAGAUACGGUAUUAACCUUGGACAUAAUUUUUUUUUUUUUUUAGGGAGGCAGCUUUCCCACAUUUAUAAAUGGGGUUGUAAAUCUCAAGAGGUCAUCUGUUCCCCAUAGCAGCAUAUCUCAUUUUUAAAUUGAAGCUAAUUAAAUAGGAUUUUACUACUCAACAUUCAUUAUACUGCUAAUCUUUGCUGAAAUACAUGCUAACAAAUGUUAAGCAAGGGAAACUGAAGAUUGAAUCACAUGGAUUCUGUUAGCAGUGUUCUGCUUUCUGUAAAAAGAGGUACUUUCCCAUGAUGGAGGCAUGAAGUGGUGCCAAUAAGCAUAGAGCGGAAAUGUUGACUUUAGUUCACAUUGGGUUUAGCAUUUCCAGUGCAGCAUUAUCAGUGGGCCUUUAAAAAUACUUCGUGAGUACAUUAGCUUUCACUUUGUUGUUAAGUUAUAGCAGACUCAUUAUAGAGAACAAGUAUGCCUUGAUUUUGUUUAAAAUGACUUCUGCUAAGCACCCAGAAGAAGAUAAAAUUGACAUAUUUUUAUAAUAUAAGCAUACUUUUUUUGUACAUUGUGUUCAUUCUUGAAUAAAAUGAGUUCUGUGUUGGCUUGUAGAUAUUAAAAAGAAAGUAUUGAUUUUGAUUCAAUAAAUGUUUUCUUUCAAUCCUGGUUGGCCUUUCCUUUAAAUUUGUUUCGUUUUUCUUUUCUUUCAAGGAAGGAAUUAUUUACCAGAAUGCAUACGUAUAUUUUCAGUCAUGAUAUCAUGCAAAAAACAACUUAAAACUUUCUGAUUUAAAAGAGAAUUUAAAUUUCUAUCAUUGUAGUCUUUAACUUCUUCACAGUUCACCUUUUAAUUUAACAAAUACUUAGAAUGAAAAUUAAAUGGAUAGAAAUAGGACAAAUAAAACAUUUAUGCCUGGUGCAGUGACUCACACCUGUAAUCCCAGCUCUUCUAGAGGUGGAGGUGGGUGGAUAGUUUGAGCCCAGUCAGGACAACAUGGUGAAACCCUUUCUGUAAGUUUUUAUUGCCUAUCAACCACAUGAUUUUUAACAAAGGUAUCUAUCAAGAUAUCUACACAGUUUUCCAUGAUGAAAUAUCUUGUCCUUAUAGUACAUGUAGGACUUAAUUAAAAUGAAAUGAAAUUAAGAAUUCUCCUCAUACUUAGCCACAUUUGAAGUGCUUAGUAGCAUCAUGUAGUGAUCAGCUACUGUAUUAGGAAGUUAUAGACUACGUCCCCCAUCACAGUUUGGGGAGUUAGUUUAUGGUUUGCCUCUAAAAUGGUUUACAACACUGGUUCCCAUGGGGAGUGAUUUUGCUCCCCAUGGAGACGUUAGAGCAAUGUCAGGAGACGACAGUUUUGGUUAUCACAGCUUGAGGAAGGGGUGGUACAGGAUCCUGGGGAGUGGAAAGUAGGGAUGCUGCUAAAUAUCCUGUGAUGUACAGGACCGCCCCCACAACAAAGACUGAUUUGAUCCAAGAUGUCAUAGUGCCACAGCUAAAACCUGUUUUAAGACGAAGAUCCAUAUGUCUGCAUACUCACCAGAUACAACCUGUAGGGACGCUUUGUUGCAUCAGAUCAUGUGCACAGGUAAGUGAGAUGUUUUGCUGGUUGAAUACUGAGAAUAGGUGUUAGGUUUCGUUUUAUGAGAAUUGCCACAAAACAUUCUAAAAACAGAAAAGUCAAGACGUAUCAGAAAAGAGUAUUUCAAAACUUAGGGUAACUUUUGUCCCCAUCCCAUAGCCAAAGAUCCUAAAAAGAAAUUGGCUUAAAAUGAAGUGCUUUGCAAAAUAAAAUUCUGACAAUCUAGUGACAUCUCAACUAUGAAAAAGUAUCUGAAGAAGCUGAUGUUGGUAGACCAAGAGCAAUUACAUUGUGAGCUUAUGUUUUUAAAGGAUAUGCGUAAAACAUUAAAGGAGGGGCACAUAACCACAAAAAGACAAAUCUAUAAAAUACAGCGCCAUAGUCUGGAAAUUGCUAAUAUUUAUGAAGAUGCAAAAAUUUACAAAAUUGAUAAAGACGAAGGAAAUUCUGUGCCCUCUGCUUAAAGUACACUAUUUGCAAACGUAAAAGAAGUCAUAGAAAUUUUACCUUCUAUUUAUUGUCUCCAUCCAGAAUGGUCCAGUAAGAAUGAAACCAUUAAAUGACUCAUCUUCAUCUGACUUUUUAUGUUCUGGCACCUUUAACUUUCGGUUUUCAUAAUGUUUCUCAGUCUAUGAGGAUUUGCCUUUGAUACUUUGUCCCAGGAUCCCUUGAGCCCAGGAGUUCAGGGUUACAGUGAGCUUGAGCUAUGAUGGUGCCUCUGCACUUCAGCCUGGGUGACAGAGCAAGACCCUGAAUCUCUGAAAAAAUAAAAGUGGUUUUCAAUGAGCUCUGCUCCAUCUAUGCAGGAAGGAAAGAAAAAACUUUCUUGUAGAUAUAUGCAACCUCUAGGCUCAUUUUGACCCCUACCUCAUCUUUUUAAUGUCUGUCAUCUUAAUAAUGUUCUCUCUGGUUUGCCUUUGAUGCCUAGAAGAAAAAAAAACUUCGUCUUUACUAAAGAAAACAGUUACUCCCUGAGUAAGAUCAAGUGUUGUUUGAUCUGGGACUUUACAAGGAUAUGCUCAAAGAAUGGUGAUCAUGGUUUUGAAGAAAACUGAUUUUCAUCACAUUAGAAGCCCUCAAGGACUUUUUGUUCUGAAGACUCCUAUUCAGCUAUGGGAAAUAUUAUUUCUCUGAUUAUUCCUUCAACUUUUGAAGAUUACCAGAUUUCUCAACAGCAAUACUGUGGUCUGGAAUAUGAUGGGGCACUCCCUUCAGACUCUGGAGAAGACAUUAUUUUGAACUAGAAUUCUGUCUACAGCCAUACGCUUAAUGAACUCUGUCUACAACCAUAUUCUCAAAGAAGAAAAAUCCAACCCAUCCUAAAAUUCAUACGGAAUCUCAAGGGACCCUGAAGAGUGAAAAUAAUCUUGCUAAAGAAGAAUGUUGGAAGAAAAAAGAUUGUAAGUUUCAUCCUUUCUAAUUUUAAAACUUAUUACAAAUCUAUAGUAAUCAAAACAGUGUGGUACUGGCAUAAAGACAAACAUAAACUAAUACACAAAAUAGAGAGUUCAGAUAUAAAUUCUCCCAUGUGUGGUCAAAUGAUGUUUGUCAAGGGUGCAAGGACCACUCCAUGGAGAAAGGACAGUUUUGUUUCUUUACCCCAACAAAUGGUGCUAGAAUUAGAUAUCCACAUGCAAAAGAAUGAAGUCUAAUCUUUACUUUAUACCGUAUGUAAAAAUUAAAUGGAUUAAAGACCAUGGAUUAGACUGAAAACUAUAGAACUCCUAGAAGAAAACAUAGAGGGAACAAUUUCUUGACAUUGGAUGUAGCAAUGAUUUCUUGGAUAUGAUACCAAAAACACUGGAAACUAAAGUAAAAAUACACAAGUUGGACUACCUCAAAAUUUAAAACUUAUGUGCAUCAAAUAACACAAUUAAUAGAGUCAAAAGGCAACCUAUGGAAUGUGAAAAUAUAUUUGCAAAUCAUAUGUCUGAUGAGGAGUUAAUAUCCUGAAUACACAAGGAAUUCCUAUAAGUCAACAACAAAAAACAAUCUGAUUUAAAAAUGGGAAAAGGACUGGAAUAGACAUUUGUUUGAAGAUAUAUAUUUGACAAAUAAGCACAUGAAAAGAGGCUCAACAUCAUUAAUCAUUUGGAAAAUGCAAAUCAAAAUCAUGAGAUACCACCUUACACCCAGGAGGAUGGUUACUGUGCAAACAAAAUAAAAUUAUAAGUGGUGUUGAGGUGUGGAGAAAUUGGGACCCUUUUGCACUAUUGGUGGGAAUGCAAAAUAAUGUAACUGCUAUGGAAAACAAUAAGGAGUUUCCUCAAAGAAUGAAAACUAGUACUACCAUAUGAUCUAGCAAUCUCACUUCUGGGUAUAUAACCAAAAGAAUUGAGCACAGGGUCUCAAAGAGAUACCGGUACACCCAUGUUCACAGCAGCAUUAUUCUCAAUAACUAAGAAGUGGAAGCAACCCAGUGUCAUUGAAUGAAUAAACAAAAUGUGGUUCAUACACUCAAUGAAGUAUUCAGCCUUAAAAAGAAAGGAAAUUUUGACACAUGCUACAACAUGGAUAAACCUUGAGGACAGUAUUUCAAGUGAAAUAAGCCACAAAAAGACAAAUAUGAUUCCCUUUAUAUGAGGUAUUUAGAGUAGUCAUAUUCAUAGACACAGAAAGUAGAAUGAUGGUUGCCAAGGGAGAGGGGCAGUGGGGUUGUGGAGUUGUUUAAUGGGUAUAGAGUUUCAGUUUUGCAAGGUAAAAAUGUUUUGGAGAUUGGUUGCAAAACGUGAAUUUCCUUAAUGCUACUGAACUGUAUACUUAAAAAUGGUUAAGACAAGUACAUUUUGUUAUGUGCAUUUUACUGAAAUUUAUUUUAAUGCCAAAAAAAACCCCUCAAGCUCAAAAAACAAACCAAGAAAGCCUAACACAUGUACCGUUUGUGGUGGAUUGCAGCCAGAGAGGGCGGUGAAAACCAGUGGGCAGUGAUGGAGGGUUGCAACUCCCAUGAGAGAAGCAUGUUCGAAGCAUUUGUACACAUCGAAUAAAGCCAAAUGCCAAAUGAUCUCUCACGUGUAAUCCCUAAAAUCUCGUAGGACACUAGAGAUCAAGUUGCUAGUCAGCGCUGAGAUUGUACAAGUGCAAAACGUAAGGAGAAACUUGACUUUGCGCUUGAACUCCUGCUUGUCAAGUUCAUUUUUCUGAAACCCUAGAGCUAUAACAUGCUGAGGAGCUAACAAGCUUUAAAAGUAGUUAUUUUUCUAUCAUUACCAAAAAUAGACAAUUUGCCUUUAAAUUCUAUUUGAGUUCAUGGCUUCCUUGAGGAUCAAACAGACAAGAUGAGGCCAAAGAGCUCUUUCUGUUCCAGGAAGCACAGGACGGGGAAGGUAGGGUUGUGGUCCUGCCUGGGCCUGAGUGGACUCACUCACUACUUGCAGCAGACACUGAACGUGCUUUCUGGCCUUGAUCUCCCCAAAGCCCACAAGGUGUCUGCUGUGGCCUGGACCUUGGGGUAGGUAGUGCUGAUAGAUUGUUACUGGCAUUUGGUAACUGCCUAUUUUUAGUACUUAUUUUCAAAUUAAAAAAUAUUUGAAGCCUUUCAUUCUGAACCCUGUCCAGCCUACACUAGUUGGUUUAAAUAAUACAACAUCCUCCUAAGUUUCCAGGGCACAGAAUCAGGGGUCUGGGCUCCUGAUGAGCAAAAGAUUUGAGGCUGCAGGCAUUUUCCCCUCCAGCCAGGCCUCUUUUCUGCAUCUGCCUCUGAGACCUAUGUAAAUGACUGUCCCCUUUGAGACAACAAAGAUAAGCACGGGCAGCAGGUGACCUACCAGACUUAACCCCAGUUCACCAUUUUGUCCUACAAGAGUUCCCAUGUUUUCCUGUCUUAUAACAACUCCCCAAAUCCAUUUCUUUGGGCAACUAUUGCUUCCCCAAUCUGUGGGGUUUUGGUGGGCCUGCAAGUCACAGUAACCAUUUCUCUCCUCCCCACAGGUAUGUACAUGAGAGCAGGCCAGGGUGAGGUCUUCCCUGGAAUUUCCAGGGCGGGGUCAGUUCCUGUAUAACCCCAGACAUUCCACAUAAGUAUAGCCCAGCACGUGAAGAAAAUCUGUUGGCAGUGGGGAAGGAUGAGGCCGACAGACAGCUGAAAUGACAAGUGGAGAGCAGGAAGGAGAGCUCAAGUGCCCUGGAGGUGUUGCAUCCUGACCCUUAGGUGUUCCAGGGAAUACCCAGUUAUUAGCUUUGGCUUUGAGCAAGAUAUUUAUCCUCUCCAACCAUCUGUUCCAUAAUCUAUGAAACUGGGAGACUCAAAGCUCUCUUCUAGGAUGUUGUGAGAAUGAGAUCACACAAGCAAAGCCCAUGCCCAUCACAGGACUUGCAUUUACUCAGCUCCUCCUGUGCCGGAACUUGCUGAGCUCCCUUCCCUCCUCCCCUGUUAGGUUGGGGCUGUAAAGUAGAAAUCUGGAACUAAUAAAAGUCUAAUGGUCAGGUGUGGGGGCUCA